rnacentral:lncRNA from 1 species
UCUCCUUCCUAUUUCUCGCACAAUUCCUAUGCUGAGUUUCUUUUCUCUGCUGCAAGUCCUUUCGCCGCUUCCGAUUCCCUAUAACACUAUGCCGUCACCUCCUCAUAUCAUCUCAGCCUUGCAUCCUCUCUACAGUUAUCUCUCUCUUCUCCAUCUGCAACUUCUCCUUCUUCAAGUAGGGGAACUCCUCUUUCUUUCUAACCCAUCUGCUCCAGAUCCCAUUCACCGAUGGCCUCCAUUCUCAAAAAAUCGCUCACCCCGGAUAAUCUAGCCGAUGAAU